GCCGGGUGUGCUGGCGGGCACCUGUACUCCCAGCUACUCAGGAGGCUGAGGCAGGAGAAUCGCUUGAACCCAGGAAGCAGAAGUUGCAGUGAGCCGAGAUCGCACCACUGCACUCCAGCCUGGGUGACAGAGUGAGACUCUGUCUCAA
rnacentral:SRP_RNA from 1 species